GGCCCGGUGGCACAGUGGUAGUGCAUCUGCUGUGUAUCCGCGACUGAAAGAAAACGUAUGCAGACGAUGCUGGUUCGAGUCCGGCUUGGGCCU